rnacentral:sRNA from 2 species
UUUUAGCCCUGAUGGAAGUGGCAUCCUUUUUGUUUUGUGCUUUGAAACAAAAAGAUAUAACGGACAGCAGGAGUUGGC